rnacentral:lncRNA from 10 species
GCCGUUGGGGCCAGGAUGGGUAGCUCUGCAAGUCUCUUUGGCGGACACAGGGCCUGAAGCUCUGCAGAGUGGUGAUUUCUGUCUCCUUUGAACAUGUAAAGCAUUUUCCCAGGCCCAAGACACCAAUGAGAACGGAUAAACAAGGAGAGAUCUCUAUCGUGACCUGUAACUCCUUGAUUCUGCUCUCAGUGCACCAGAGCAUCUCCUAAUGACCGGAAGGCAGUGUCUGCUGUGUAAAUGCAUCUUUUUUGAGUUUCCAGAUACUCUUCUCAAACCCAACAGUGCCCGGUACGGAGACAGCAUGCAUCCAGCAAUUGUUGAAUGAGAGUUCACAUAACAUAGAACAGGAAACUGGGGUGUACCGUCCCAGCCGAGCCACACCCGAUGGCCUACCUGUGGCCUGAGAACUGUCUGUGAUUGGUGUGCUGUGGAGCAGACACAUUCCACCUAUGAACAGCCUGCUGCAUGGCUCCAUGCUAUUUUGAUGUGGGUAAAAGUAAAAGCAGUGUUUGAAAGGGUGCACAACCCCUGUCUCCGGCCACCUUUCCUGUCCGUGAGCGCAGACACGGUGCACAGGGACACAGGCACCCUGCGCUGCUGCUGCGGAGUCCCAACGCCCCAUCAAGUGCUGAGUCGACAAGCAUCAGAAGGACCCUCCUGGGCACCACUCUUCUGCUGGACUCCAGGGACACAGAGAGAAAAUGACCAGGAGUAUCACUUGAACCCAGGAGGCAGAGGUUGCAGUGAGCUGAGAUCGCACCACUGCACUCUAUCCUGGGUGACACAGUGAGACUCUGUCAAUCAAAAAAAAAAAGAGAAAGAAAGAGAGAGAGAGAAAGAAGAAGGAAAGAAAGAAAGAAAAGAAGAAAGAAGGAAGAAAUAGAAAGAGAGAGAAGGAAGAAAUAGAAAGAGAGAGAAAGAAGAAAGAAAAAAGAAGGAAGGAAAGAGAAAGAAAAAGAAAGAAAGAGAAAGAAAAAGAAAGAAAGAAAGAAAGAAAGAGA